UACGUAGGGGGCAAGCGUUGUCCGGAAUCAUUGGGCGUAAAGAGCGUGUAGGCGGCUAGGUAGGUCUGUUGUGAAAACUCGAGGCUCAACCUCGAGACGCCGAUGGAAACCAUCUGGCUAGAGUCCGGAAGAGGAGAGUGGAAUUCCUGGUGUAGCGGUGAAAUGCGCAGAUAUCAGGAAGAACACCCGUGGCUAAGGCGGCUCUCUAGUACGGUACUGACGCUGAGACGCGAAAGCGUGGGGAGCGAACAGG
rnacentral:rRNA from 1 species